rnacentral:rRNA from 1 species
UACGUAGGGUGCAAGCGUUAUCCGGAAUUAUUGGGCGUAAAGAGCUCGUAGGCGGUUUGUCGCGUCUGCUGUGAAAACUGGAGGCUCAACCUCCAGCCUGCAGUGGGUACGGGCAGACUAGAGUGCGGUAGGGGAGAUUGGAAUUCCUGGUGUAGCGGUGGAAUGCGCAGAUAUCAGGAGGAACACCGAUGGCGAAGGCAGGUC